UUUCCUCUGGUGUAGCGGUUAGCAUUCAAAACUCUGAAUCCUGUGACGGAAGUUCAAAUCUCCCCGGGACCU